rnacentral:rRNA from 1 species
CCUACGGGGUGCAGCAGUGAGGAAUAUUGGUCAAUGGGCGGAAGCCUGAACCAGCCAAGUAGCGUGCAGGAUGACGGCCCUACGGGUUGUAAACCUCUUUUAUAUGGGAAUAAAAUGUUCCACGUGUGGGAUUUUGUAUGUACCAUAUGAAUAAGGAUCGGCUAACUCCGUGCCAGCAGCCGCGGUAAUACGGAGGAUCCGAGCGUUAUCCGGAUUUAUUGGGUUUAAAGGGAGCGUAGGUGGAUUGUUAAGUCAGUUGUGAAAGUUUGCGGCUCAACCGUAAAAUUGCAGUUGAAACUGGCAGUCUUGAGUACAGUAGAGGUGGGCGGAAUUCGUGGUGUAGCGGUGAAAUGCUUAGAUAUCACGAAGAACUCCUAUUGCGAAGGCAGCUCACUGGACUGCAACUGACACUGAGGCUCGAAAGUGUGGGUAUCAAACAGGAUUAGAUACCCGUGUAGUC